GGCCGGUUAGCUCAGUUGGUCAGAGCGUGGUACUAAUAACGCCAAGGUCAUGGGUUCAAGCCCUGUACAGGCCA